rnacentral:rRNA from 1 species
AAGCUCGUAGUUGAACCUUGGACCUGGCUGAUCUGUCCUCCUAAUCGAGCGUACGGAUUCGGUCGGGUCUUUCCUUCUGGGGAACCCUAUGUCCUUCAUUGGGUGUAGUGGGGAACCAGGACUUUUACCUUGAAAAAAUUAGAGUGUUCAAAGCAGGCCUACGCCCGAAUACAUUAGCAUGGAAUAAUAGAAUAGGACGCGCACUCCUAUUUUGUUGGUUUCUAGGAGCGCCGUAAUGAUUAAUAGGGAUAGUUGGGGGCAUUUGUAUUACAGCGUCAGAGGUGAAAUUCUUGGAUUGCUGUAAGACAAACUACUGCGAAAGCAUUUGCCAAGGAUGUUUUCAUUGAUCAAGAACGAAGGUUAGGGGAUCAAAAACGAUCAGAUACCGUUGUAGUCUUAACAGUAAACUAUGCCGACUGGGGAUCGGACAAGGCUUUAUCAUGACUUGUUCG